AUUGAACGCUGGCGGCGGGCCUAACACAUGCAAGUCGAACGAGUGGCGGACGGGUGAGUAAGGUCUGGGAAACUGCCUGGUGGAGGGGGAUAACUACGGGAAACGGGAGCUAAUACAGCAUACAAUCGGAUGUGGCCAGAUGGGAGUAGCGAGUUGGUGGGGUAAGGGCGCACUGUGGCGACGGUCCGUGGCUGCGCUGAGAGGAUGACCAGCGACACUGGAACUGGGGCACGGUCCAGACUCCUAGGGGAGGCAGAAGUGGGGAAUAGUGACCAAUGGGAGCAGGCCUGAUGCAGGCAUGCCGCGUGUAUGAAGAAGGCCUUCGGGUUGUAAAGUACUUACAGCGGGGAGGCGUUACCCGCAGAAGAAGCACCGGCUAACUCCGUGCCAGCAGCCGCGGUAAUUC
rnacentral:rRNA from 1 species